CUCAGAUUCUGUGCCACACAUGCAGUCGGCACGCACUCAGAGCUUCCCCACCAGUCCUGUGGCUACAGAUGCUGCCUUAGACCAUCUGAGGCAUGGAGGCUGUCUGGUUGGAAGAUCAGGAAACGUGGCUCAUGCUGGGACCGAAAAGAAUCAUCUACACUUUCUCACCCUUCUGGAAGUGCCUUGAGAGCAGGCCCCAGAAUUGGCAGCAGAGUGGCACAUCAGUGUUCUUGAAGGCAGAUCUGAGCAUAGCCAUGGCUCUGAGU